GACGAACGCUGGCGGCGUGCCUAACACAUGCAAGUCAAGGGGAAGUUUUCCUUCGGGGAAACGGAUACUGGCGAACGGGUGAGUAACGCGUAGAUAAUCUGCCUCUAACUCUGACAUAACAUCGAGAAAUCGGUGCUAAUAUCAGAUAUUGCCGCAAGGUGAAAGGUUUACCGGUUAGAGAUGAGUCUGCGUCUGAUUAGCUAGUUGGUAAGGUAAUGGCUUACCAAGGCAACGAUCAGUAGCUGGUUUGAGAGGAUGAUCAGCCACACUGGAACUGAGACACGGUCCAG
rnacentral:rRNA from 1 species